AUGACUGAAGUGAAAUUUACAAAAAAGGCUCAAAAUUGGUCAUAUACAAACCACUUCCUCUACAGACCAUUGGUGUUCAUGGUGUUUGGGCAUCUGAAAAGCAAAAAUCUUUGGAAAAGCAUUGUAUCUGCCUGUGCUGGGAUAUCUGCAUCUCAAAGAAGCUAUGUCGACCAGUCAGGCUUCAGAAGCUCUUCUCCCUCAGAGGCAAAGCUUCUUGGUGGGUCCCUGUCUGGCAUGUUGGAAAUGACAUUCUGUGUGGGAAGAGUCUGAAGUGCAGAGAGCAGUGGGAACCCAGCAGCUCUGAACCACAGCCCAGAGGGUGCCCUACAGGACUGUGAAGUGCAGGAGGGAUGGAAUGUUUUCUGUCCAACAAACUGAAAUGAAAACAUUUUGACUCUCUGGUGUUUCAAUGCUUUCUGUUGAUAAAAAAAUAAAAUAAAUAGAUAUAAUUCA
rnacentral:lncRNA from 1 species